rnacentral:rRNA from 1 species
GCUGGUGUGGAUGAGUGGCGAACGGGUGAGUAAUACGUGAGUAACCUGCCCUUGACUCUAGGAUAAGCCCGGGAAACUGGGUCUAAUACUGGAUGCUACAUGUCACCGCACGGUGGUGUGUGGAAAGGGUUUACUGGUCUUGGAUGGGCUCACGGCCUAUCAGCUUGUUGGUGAGGUAAUGGCUCACCAAGGCGACGAUGGUAGCCGGCCUGAGAGGGUGACCGGCCACACUGGGACUGAGACACGGCCCAGACUCCUACGGGAGGCAGCAGUGGGGAAUAUUGCACAAUGGGCGAAAGCCUGAUGCAGCGACGCCGCGUGAGGGAUGACGGCCUUCGGGUUGUAAACCUCUUUCAGCAAGGAAGAAGCCACAAGUGACGGUACCUGCAUAAGAAGCGCCUGCUAACUACAUGCCAGCAGCCGCGGUAAUACGUAGGCGCAGCGUUGUCCG